rnacentral:rRNA from 1 species
UCUGGUUGAUCCUGCCAGUAGUCAUAUGCUUGUCUCAAAGAUUAAGCCAUGCAUGUCUAAGUACAAACCUUAAUACGGUGAAACCGCGAAUGGCUCAUUAAAUCAGCUAUGGUUCCUUAGAUCGUCUCAUCCUACUCGGAUAACUGUGGAAAAUCUAGAGCUAAUACGUGCUUACAAGCCCUGACCUCACGGGAGGGGCGCAUUUAUUAGAUCAAAACCAAUCGGGGCUUGCCCCGUCUGCUUGGUGACUCUGGAUAACUUUUGUGCUGAUCGCAUGGCCUCUGCGCUGGCGACGUAUCUUUCAAGUGUCUGCCCUAUCAACUUACGAUGGUAGGUGAUAUGCCUACCAUGGUUAUAACGGGUAACGGGGAAUCAGGGUUCGAUUCCGGAGAGGGAGCCUGAGAAACGGCUACCACAUCUAAGGAAGGCAGCAGGCGCGCAAAUUACCCACUCCCGGCACGGGGAGGUAGUGACGAAAAAUAACGAUACGGGACUCUUUUGAGGCCCCGUAAUUGGAAUGAGUACACUUUAAAUCCGUUAACAAGUAUCUAUUGGAGGGCAAGUCUGGUGCCAGCAGCCGCGGUAAUUCCAGCUCCAAUAGCGUAUAUUAAUGUUGCUGCAGUUAAAAAGCUCGUAGUUGGAUCUGAGGACUCGAAUUGGUGGUGCACCAUACGGUGUUACUGCCGAUUCGGCCUACCUAGUCGGUGCUCGCUCUUGGUGUUCUUAAUUGAAUGCCCUGAGUGCCCGGCAAGUUUACUUUGAAAAAAUUAGAGUGCUCAAAGCAGGCCAUUAGCCGGAAUACUUCAGCAUGGAAUAAUGGAAUAGGACUUCGGUUCUAUUUUGUUGGUUUUCGGAACCCGAGGUAAUGAUUAAGAGAGACAGACGGGGGCAUUCGUACUGCGGUGUUAGAGGUGAAAUUCUUGGAUCGCCGCAAGACGAACAACUGCGAAAGCAUUUGCCAAGAAUGUUUUCAUUAAUCAAGAACGAAAGUCAGAGGUUCGAAGACGAUCAGAUACCGUCCUAGUUCUGACCAUAAACGAUGCCAACUGGCGAUCCGAGAUCGUUUGCUUAUUGACCUCUCGGGCAGCCUCCGGGAAACCAAAGUUUUUAGGUUCCGGGGGAAGUAUGGUUGCAAAGCUGGAACUGUUUGUGCAAUUUGACUCUUGUCACUCUAAUGGCCGUUCCCCUGGUUAACUUGGUCUGUUCUGGCCCGGAGUCGGUAGGGUUUCCGGCCUUGUGCUCUUUCCUUACUGUUCUCUGUAACGCCGAAGGCGGGGCUUCCACGGUGGGGAAGCGGUUGUACAAAUCCGGCAAAUCCAGCCAAAUGGGUUCCGGACUCUGUCCAACCUGCAACUGGUAACAGCCUCGGCUGGCUAACAUUUGAGCUGGGACUCGCUUGGGAGGAGCGAGGAUAAUAUAAACCUCUAUGUGACUGAGGUGAGGAAUCUGGUUCUCGUAAAAUGGCUGGAGAUCCCGAGCCUGUAAGUCAUAAAUUAGUUCCCCCACGAGGGGAGGUGUCGAAUUGAAGCCAGUGCGUGCCCUUACUAGUUUAAGGGAUUGUAUACUUCCUUUGGUGUACCCACCUGGAAGUGCCCAAGGGGUCCUAUCCCUGCACU